GUGGGGAAUAUUGGACAAUGGGCGAAAGCCUGAUCCAGCCAUGCCGCGUGUGUGAAGAAGGUCUUCGGAUUGUAAAGCACUUUAGGUAGGGAGGAAGGGCAGUGAGUUAAUACCUUGCUGUUUUGACGGUACCGACAGAAUAAGCACCGGCUAACUUCGUGCCAGCAGCCGCGGUAAUACGAAGGGUGCAAGCGUUAAUCGGAAUUACUGGGCGUAAAGCGCGCAUAGGGGGUUUUGUAAGUUGGAGGUGAAAUCCCCGGGCUCAACCUGGGAACUGCCUCCAAAACUGUAUGACUAGAGUACGGUAGAGGGUAGUGAAAUUGCGUGUGUAGCGGUGAAAUGCGUAGAUAUACGGAGGAACACCGGUGGCGAAGGCGACUACCUGGACUGAUACUGACACUGAGGUGCGAAAGCGUGGGGAGCAAACAGGAUUAGAUACCCGGGUAGUCC
rnacentral:rRNA from 1 species